UACGUAGGGGGCAAGCGUUGUCCGGAUUUAUUGGGCGUAAAGAGCUCGUAGGCGGUUCCGUAAGUCGUGAAGUCAAAUCUCUGGGCUCAACCCAGAAUCGCUUCCGAUACUGCGGUGACUGGAGUCCGGUAGGGGAGUGUGGAAUUCCUGGUGUAGCGGUGAAAUGCGCAGAUAUCAGGAGGAACACCGGUGGCGAAGGCGGGUCUCUGGGCCGAUACUGACGCUGAGGAGCGAAAGCGUGGGGAGCGAACAGG
rnacentral:rRNA from 1 species